rnacentral:rRNA from 1 species
UACAGAGGGGGCAAGCGUUGUUCGGAAUUACUGGGCGUAAAGGGCGCGUAGGCGGCCUUCUAAGUCGAACGUGAAAUCCCCGGGCUCAACCCGGGAACUGCGUCCGAUACUGGAGGGCUUGAAUCCGGGAGAGGGAUGUGGAAUUCCAGGUGUAGCGGUGAAAUGCGUAGAUAUCUGGAGGAACACCGGUGGCGAAGGCGGCAUCCUGGACCGGCAUUGACGCUGAGGCGCGAAAGCGUGGGGAGCAAACAGG